rnacentral:lncRNA from 1 species
UGGCGGUCCCUGUACCAGAUCCUGCAGUACCAGAUCCUGCAGUGGCGGUCCCUGUACCAGAUCCUGCAGUACCAGAUCCUGCAGUGGCGGUCCCUGUACCAGAUCCUACAGUGCCGGUCCCUGUCCCUGCUCCUGCUCCAGCACUGCCUCGUCCAAAGCCACCUGGUCCACCUCCCGUCCCAACACCAGAACCAGGUAUCCCGCCGGUCCCCAGUCCUGCUCCAGGUCCACCACCAGUUGUUACUCCAACACCUCGUCCUGGGACCAGUCCUCCUACCCCCAGCCCAGGACCAGGUCCAUAGCCAGCUCCACCAGGCACAACUCCUCCACCUGGUCCAUAGCCUGUACCAGGACCACCAGGCCCAACUCCUCCACCUGGUCCAUAGCCAGCUCCACCAGGCCCAUAGCCAGCUCCACCAGGCCCAACUCCUCCACCUGGUCCAUAGCCAGCUCCACCAGGCCCAACUCCUCCUCCUGGUCCAUAGCCUGUACCAGCACCACCGGGCCCAACUCCUCCGACUGGUCCAUAGCCAGCUCCACCAGGCCCAACUCCUCCUCCUGGUCCAUAGCCUGUACCAGCACCACCAGGCCCAACUCCUCCACUUGGUCCAUAGCCUGUACCAGCACUACCAGGUCCAACUCCUCCACCUGGUCCAUAGCCAGCUCCACCUGGUCCAUAGCCAGCUCCUCCAGGCCCAACUCCUGCUCCUGGUCCAUAGCCUGUACCAGCACCAGCAGGCCCAACUCCUCCUGGUCCAUAGCCUGUCCCAGCACCACCAGGCCCAACUCCUCCCGGUCCAUAGCCUGUCCCAGCACCGCCAGGCCGGACUCCUCCAGCACUUGUUCCUGGACCUCCAAGUCCUGUUCCUGCUCCUCCUAAUCCAGUUCCAGUUCCACCUGGACCGUAUCCAGUUCUACUUGGCCAAUAACCCGCUCCUCCAGUGCCAGUGCCGGCAGCACCUGGACCAUAACCAACCCCAGAGGCAGGUCCCAUUCCUAUGCCGAGUCCAACUCCUCCUCCCGGUCCUCCGCCUCCAAGUCCUCCAGUAG